GUUGGCGCACAAGUAAUUGCGGUUUUUGCCAUUACUUUUAAUGUCAAAAACCCCAAUUACUUUUGCACCAAUGUAAUA
rnacentral:miRNA from 10 species